GUAAAAUCUAUUCAUAUAUUUAUACUUAUUAUUAAUUUAUUCUUUUAUUCCAUAUACAACUCUAAAUAGAAUUAACGUUUUAUUCUAAACUGUUUAUAUAGAAACAUUGUUUUGCCGUAAUUACUCACCUGUUUUAAAUAUCUGUGCUGAGCACGCUCCAAAUGCUAUCUGGCAAGCCAACACAUCAUCACCAGCGCUUUGUUUCAUUUGUUGUCUACCCGAAAUACCAACACGGGCAAGUCACGCCCCAAAAAAUACCAAACGUGACUUUAGGACGUGAUAUAACAGCGCUUAAAAGCGCGUGAUGCCAGGCUGGCACUCUAGGCAAACUCGGCUGGCUGACCUUAUCCGAAUCCAUAUGUUGCAAUGUUAAUUUGACUGCACAAGUGGUUACCAUAUUUUGAUACAAUAAUUAUAAUUUUAUUAAAAAGUGCGCUUGUUAUUUUUAUCUAUGUACAUAUCUUUGAAUAAAAAAAAAAAAAUUGUACCCGC
rnacentral:misc_RNA from 1 species